rnacentral:rRNA from 1 species
UACGGAGGGGGCAAGCGUUGUUCGGAAUUAUUGGGCGUAAAGAGUAUGUAGGCGGCUGGAUAAGUCAGACGUGUAAGCCCACGGCUCAACCGUGGAAUUGCGUUUGAAACUAUUCAGCUUGAGUGCAGAAGAGGAAGGCGGAAUUCCCAGUGUAGCGGUGAAAUGCAUUGAUAUUGGGAAGAACACCGGUGGCGAAGGCGGCCUUCUGGUCUGUUACUGACGCUGAGAUACGAAAGCCAGGGGAGCAAAGGGG